ACGAACGCUGGCGGCGUGCUUAACACAUGCAAGUCGAACGGAAAGGCUCUGCUUUUGUGGGGUGCUCGAGUGGCGAACGGGUGAGUAACACGUGAGUAACCUGCCCUUGACUUUGGGAUAACUUCAGGAAACUGGGGCUAAUACCGGAUAGGAGCUCCUGCUGCAUGGUGGGGGUUGGAAAGUUUCGGCGGUUGGGGAUGGACUCGCGGCUUAUCAGCUUGUUGGUGGGGUAGUGGCUUACCAAGGCUUUGACGGGUAGCCGGCCUGAGAGGGUGACCGGCCACAUUGGGACUGAGAUACGGCCCAGACUCCUGCGGGAGGCAGCAGUGGGGAAUAUUGCACAAUGGGCGGAAGCCUGAUGCAGCAACGCCGCGUGCGGGAUGACGGCCUUCGGGUUGUAAACCGCUUUCGCCUGUGACGAAGCGUGAGUAACGGUAAUGGGUAAAGAAGCACCGGCUAACUACGUG
rnacentral:rRNA from 1 species